GGCUUCACAGCUCAUGAUCAGUUGGUCGAGCAUCGCACCGGUAUCGCGGAGUUCACGGGUUCGAAUCUCGUUGAAGCCC
rnacentral:tRNA from 1 species